rnacentral:misc_RNA from 1 species
UACAGAGGGUGCGAGCGUUAAUCGGAAUUACUGGGCGUAAAGGGCGCGUAGGUGGAGAGCCAAGUUAGAUGUGAAAGCCCCGGGCUUAACCUGGGAAGGCCAUUUAAGACUGGUUCUCUAGAGUACAGGAGAGGGAAGUGGAAUUUCCGGUGUAGCGGUGAAAUGCGUAGAUAUCGGAAGGAACACCGGUGGCGAAAGCGGCUUUCUGGCCUGUAACUGACACUGAGGCGCGAAAGCGUGGGUAGCGAACAGG